rnacentral:rRNA from 1 species
AGGACGAACGCUGGCGGCGUGCUUAACACAUGCAAGUCGAGCGAGAGCCAGCUGAGGGGUAACCCUCGGCUGGGGACAGCGGCGAACGGGUGCGUAACACGUGGGCAACCUGCCCCUGACACGUGGGAUAACCCCGGGAAACCGGAGCUAAUACCGGAUACUCUCGGCCGAUCACAUGGCUGGCCGAGGAAAGGUCCGCCGGUCAGGGAGUGGGCCCGCGGCCUAUCAGCUUGGUGGUGAGGUAACCGCCCACCAAGGCGACGACGGGUAGCUGGUCUGAGAGGACGACAGCCACACUGGAACUGAGAUACGGUCCAGACCUCCUACGGGAGCAGCGAGGUGGGAAUAGUGACA